CCUCCGGAAGGUGACCUGGCGAAGAAUCAUAAAGGAAAUACAAUCCGGCGAGGAAAGGCGGGGAGUGUAGCUGGCCCUUCCGGGCAUGUCAAGCUUUCUUCGUACUUCCGCGGAUUGGCGGGGGGGCGCCCCGGGUUUCAUUAUACCUCUUCGGGUGGAAAGUCUUUAAAUGUGGAAACAUUCAUGAAGUGGGAACUUUUAGGAGCCGCGAUUUUUGGAGACAAAAGUUAUUCCAAUUUUCGCAAAGGAUUCUCUGGGCUUUGGCAUGAAGGAGGACCGCAGGGAAUCGCGAUAGGUAAUGUAAAUGCAAGAUUUCCAGGGAUUCAUGGAUUCUUGGAACCCCCCUUCCCUUCUUGGUGGUUCCGAGGACCAUCCCGGUUUAAGGGCCAGUAAUUUUUCAACCCCUCUGGAUUGCUUUGGAGAGGGCGCUUGGAUGGGGGAGGCUCCGGGAGCCCGGGAUUCGUCCGGGAUUGGGGUUCUUUGAAAAGGAAUCGGCUGCCGGUCGCCCUUCGACUUUGCAUGACAAGGCCUUUGGCGUGAUAAUGAUCGCCGUUCGCCGAAGUGCACGACAGAAAACGGUCCCGCGCCUCUAAUGCGUCGACGCCUUCCGGGCGUCUUCCUCAUUGACGUUGACCUCAAAUCAGGUAGGAACACCCGCCCCGCG
rnacentral:rRNA from 1 species